rnacentral:rRNA from 1 species
ACGAACGCUGGCGGCACGCUUAACACAUGCAAGUCGAACGAGAGAAGAGAAGCUUGCUUUUCUGAUCUAGUGGCGGACGGGUGAGUAACACGUGAGCAAUCUGCCUUUCAGAGGGGGAUACCGAUUGGAAACGAUCGUUAAUACCGCAUAAUAUAAUUGAACCGCAUGAUUUGAUUAUCAAAGAUUUAUCGCUGAAAGAUGAGCUCGCGUCUGAUUAGCUAGUUGGUAAGGUAACGGCUUACCAAGGCGACGAUCAGUAGCCGGACUGAGAGGUUGAUCGGCCACAUUGGGACUGAGACACGGCCCAGACUCCUACGGGAGGCAGCAGUGGGGAAUAUUGCACAAUGGAGGAAACUCUGAUGCAGCGAUGCCGCGUGAGGGAAGAAGGUUUUAGGAUUGUAAACCUCUGUCUUCAGGGACGAAAAAAGACGGUACCUGAGGAGGAAGCUCCGGCUAACUACGUGCCAGCAGCCGCGGUAAUACGUAGGGAGCGAGCGUUGUCCGGAAUUACUGGGUGUAAAGGGAGCGUAGGCGGGAUCGCAAGUCAGAUGUGAAAACUAUGGGCUUAACCCAUAAACUGCAUUUGAAACUGUGGUUCUUGAGUGAAGUAGAGGUAAGCGGAAUUCCUAGUGUAGCGGUGAAAUGCGUAGAUAUUAGGAGGAACAUCAGUGGCGAAGGCGGCUUACUGGGCUUUAACUGACGCUGAGGCUCGAAAGCGUGGGGAGCAAACAGGAUUAGAUACCCUGGUAGUCCACGCCGUAAACGAUGAUUACUAGGUGUGGGGGGACUGACCCCUUCCGUGCCGCAGCAAACGCAAUAAGUAAUCCACCUGGGGAGUACGACCGCAAGGUUGAAACUCAAAGGAAUUGACGGGGGCCCGCACAAGCAGUGGAGUAUGUGGAUUAAUUCGAAGCAACGCGAAGAACCUUACCAGGUCUUGACAUCGUAUGCAUAGCUCAGAGAUGAGUGAAAUCUCUUCGGAGACAUAUAGACAGGUGGUGCAUGGUUGUCGUCAGCUCGUGUCGUGAGAUGUUGGGUUAAGUCCCGCAACGAGCGCAACCCUUACUGUUAGUUGCUACGCAAGAGCACUCUAGCAGGACUGCCGUUGACAAAACGGAGGAAGGUGGGGAUGACGUCAAAUCAUCAUGCCCCUUAUGACCUGGGCCUCACACGUACUACAAUGGCUGUCAACAGAGGGAUGCAAAGCCGCGAGGUGGAGCGAACCCCUAAAAGCAGUCUUAGUUCGGAUUGUAGGCUGCAACCCGCCUACAUGAAGUCGGAAUUGCUAGUAAUCGCAGAUCAGCAUGCUGCGGUGAAUACGUUCCCGGGCCUUGUACACACCGCCCGUCACGCCAUGGGAGUCGGUAACACCCGAAGCCUGUAGUCUAACCGCAAGGAGGACGCAGUCGAAGGUGGGAUUGAUGACUGGGGUG